rnacentral:rRNA from 1 species
CGCUGGCGGCAUGCCUUACACAUGCAAGUCGAACGGCAGGCACGGGAGCAAUCCUGGUGGCGAGUGGCGAACGGGUGAGUAAUAUAUCGGAACGUGCCAGUCGUGGGGGAUAACGUAGCGAAAGCUACGCUAAUACCGCAUACGAUCUAUGGAUGAAAGCGGGGGAUCGCAAGACCUCGCGCGAUUGGAGCGGCCGAUAUCAGAUUAGGUAGUUGGUGAGGUAAAGGCUCACCAAGCCGACGAUCUGUAGCUGGUCUGAGAGGACGACCAGCCACACUGGGACUGAGACACGGCCCAGACUCCUACGGGAGGCAGCAGUGGGGAAUUUUGGACAAUGGGCGCAAGCCUGAUCCAGCAAUGCCGCGUGCAGGAUGAAGGCCUUCGGGUUGUAAACUGCUUUUGUACGGAACGAAACGGUGAGCUCUAAUACAGUUUGCUAAUGACGGUACCGUAAGAAUAAGCACCGGCUAACUACGUG